AACACUGUUAACCUGCGGUACCUGCGGAAGGAUCAUUACACAAUACAAUAUGAAGGCUGUCCGCAGCUGGAGUAUUUUAUUACCCUUGUCUUUUGCGCACUUGUUGUUUCCUGGGCGGGUUCGCUCGCCACCAGGACCACCAAAUAAACCUUUUUUAUGCAGUUGCAAUCAGCGUCAGUACAAACAAUGUAAAUCAUUUACAACUUUCAGCAACGGAUCU
rnacentral:misc_RNA from 1 species